CCUACGUGAGGCAGCAGUGAGGCAUAUUGGUCAAUGGGCGCGAGCCUGAACCAGCCAAGUAGCGUGAAGGAUGACUGCCCUACGGGUUGUAAACUUCUUUUAUAAAGGAAUAAAGUGAGGCACGUGUGCCUUUUUGUAUGUACUUUAUGAAUAAGGAUCGGCUAACUCCGUGCCAGCAGCCGCGGUAAUACGGAGGAGCCGAGCGUUAUCCGGAUUUAUUGGGUUUAAAGGGAGCGGAGAUGGGUUGUUAAGUCAGUUGUGAAAGUUUGCGGCUCAACCGUAAAAUUGCAAUUGAUACUGGCAGUCUUGAGUACAGUUGAGGUAGGCGUAAUUCGUGGUGUAGCGGUGAAAUGCUGAGAUAUCACGAAGAACUCCGAUUGCGAAGGCAGCUUACUAAACUGCCACUGACAUUGAUGCUCGAAAGUGUGGGUAUCAAACAGGAUUAGAUACCCGAGUAGUC
rnacentral:rRNA from 1 species